GAUGAACGCUGGCGGCGUGCUUAACACAUGCAAGUCGAACGAAACACCUUAUUUGAUUUUCUUCGGAACUGAAGAUUUGGUGAUUGAGUGGCGGACGGGUGAGUAACGCGUGGGUAACCUGCCCUGUACAGGGGGAUAACAGUCAGAAAUGACUGCUAAUACCGCAUAAGACCACAGCACCGCAUGGUGCAGGGGUAAAAACUCCGGUGGUACAGGAUGGACCCGCGUCUGAUUAGCUGGUUGGUGAGGUAACGGCUCACCAAGGCGACGAUCAGUAGCCGGCUUGAGAGAGUGAACGGCCACAUUGGGACUGAGACACGGCCCAAACUCCUACGGGAGGCAGCAGUGGGGAAUAUUGCACAAUGGGGGAAACCCUGAUGCAGCGACGCCGCGUGAGUGAAGAAGUAUUUCGGUAUGUAAAGCUCUAUCAGCAGGGAAGAAAAUGACGGUACCUGGCGAAGAAGCCCCGGCUAACUACGUG
rnacentral:rRNA from 1 species